GGGAUGUGCCUUGCGGUGGGGAAUAACUGUGGGAAACUACAGCUAAUACCGCAGAUAGCCCUUCGGGGGAAACAUUUAUCGCCUUUAGAGCAUCCCGCGUCAUAUUAGCUAGUUGGUAGGGUAUUGGCCUACCUAGGCGACGAUCUGUAGCUGGUCUGAGAGGAUGACCAGCCACACUGGGACUGAGACACGGCCCCCACUCCUACGGGAGGCAGCAAUGGGGAAUAUUGGACAAUGGGCGCAAGCCUGAUCCAGCCAUGCCGCGUGAGUGAUGACGGCCUUAGGGUUGUGCAGGUCUUUUAACAGGGACGAUGAUGACUGUACCUGUAUAAUAAGCCCCGGCACUCUUCGUGCCAGCAUCCCCGGUUAUACCAAAGGGGCUAGCGUUGUUCGGAAUUACUGGGCCUAAAGCGCACGUAGGCGGAUUUUUAACUCAGGGGUGAUAUCCCGAGGCUCAACCUCGGAACUGCCUUUGAUACUGUAGAUCUUGAGUUCCGAUGACGUUGGUGGAACAGCUCGUGUAUAGGUGAUAUUCGUAAAUAUUAGCUAGAACACCAGUGUCUAACGCGGCCAACUGGUCCGAUACUGACUCUGAGGUGCGAAAGCGU
rnacentral:rRNA from 1 species